rnacentral:tRNA from 1 species
GCCGGGGUGGUGGAACUGGCAGUCACGGCGGCCUCAAAAGCCGCUGGGGGAAACCCCGUGCGGGUUCGAGUCCCGCCCCCGGCA